UGAACGGAUCGUAAAGCCUGGUGACUUUGGCUGUCCGUAGGACAGACCUAGCCUUUCCUGCAACGGAACGGGACAGAUUGAAAUCGAAGCCCAGGGUGAGCCGUUCA
rnacentral:ncRNA from 1 species